rnacentral:rRNA from 1 species
GACGAACGCUGGCGGCGUGCCUAAUACAUGCAAGUCGAACGCAGUGGGGACGGGAGAGGAACACGUGGGUAACCUCCCAUCAGAGGGGAUAAAACUUGGAAACAGGUGCUAAAACGAUAUUGAUGGAUGGACCCGCGGUGCAUUAGCUAGUUGGUGAGGUAACGGAUCACCAAGGCCACGAUGCAUAGCCGACCGGAGAGUGUGAUCGGCCACACUGGGACGAAGACACGGCCCAGACUCCUACGGGAGGCAGCAUUAGGGAAUCUUCGGCAAUGGACGAAAGUCUGACCGAGCAACGCCGCGUGAAUGAAGAAGGUUGUCGGUUCGUAAAACUCUGUUGUUAGGGAAGCGUUAUCUAACCAGAAAGCAACGGCUAACUACGUGCCAGCAGCCGCGGUAAUUC